GUUAAAAUAACUCAUGUUGUGUCUGUUCACAGAUCCAGGGUCUGCAGUCAGGUGUGUUUGUCCAUCAGUGUUCAGCUGUCUGUCUGCUGUCUGGAGGAUGAUGACUUCUGUUUGUUCCUCUGAGGAAAUGGAUCAUCAGUCUCUGUAUAUUCCUCUCUCUGUAGAGGAGACCCGACCAGAACCGGCCCAGAGUUCAGUGCGGCCAUGCAGUGAUGGAGAAAGUUACUUUUAAAAAUGUUAAGGCCAGAAGUGGAAUCAGUAAUCCUUAGGCUGAAGGAAAUGCAAAUUCACAGCUGUACAGUAGAGGGCGCUGCUCAAACAAACCUUUCAGCCACUGCUGAAGAAAG